rnacentral:rRNA from 1 species
AACGAACGCUGGCGGCAGGCCUAACACAUGCAAGUCGAACGCCGUAGCAAUACGGAGUGGCAGACGGGUGAGUAACGCGUGGGAACAUACCCCUCGGUUCGGAAUAACUCAGGGAAACUUGAGCUAAUACCGGAUACGUCCGAGGUUUUAAUCGACCUUGGAGAAAGAUUUAUCGCCGGAGGAUUGGCCCGCGUCUGAUUAGCUUGUUGGUGAGGUAAUGGCUCACCAAGGCGACGAUCAGAGCUGGUCUGAGAGGACGACCAGCCACACUGGGACUGAGACACGGCCCAGACUCCUACGGGAGGCAGCAGUGGGGAAUCUUGCGCAAUGGGCGAAGGCCUGACGCAGCAACGCCGC